CUUCAAGGUACUAAUGAGAUGGUAUUUAGUGCCCGAUAGGUUGAGUAAAAUAUAUCCAACGGCUGCUCCUACAUGCUGGAGGUGCAAUAGUGGUAGGGGCACAAUAUUACAUAUUUUCUGGGAAUGCCCACACCUGGAUACUUUUUGGAAAUAUGUGCAGAACGUCAUACACACCAUCUCCGGGCUACAACUCUCCCUACGUCCUGAUUUCUACUUGCUCCAUUUAAUACCGAACGCACACCAACUACCCUCAACGGCAGCUGUAAUUAAUACUCUGAUUGCGGCAAAAUUAUGUAUUGCGUCUCAUUGGAAGAGUGACUUUAUCCCAUCAGCAAAAGAACUGCUAAACAGAAUAAACACCACAUACUGCUAUGAAAAGGAAUGGGCCAUAAAAGGGAACAUGACCAAAUUUAACAAACAAUGGAAAGGUUGGGAAACCACGUACAAACACCGCAUCGACUCGGGAUAAAUUCCGUCUCUAGAAUGGAGUGAACUCUCAGACGUCAUUUAAGGUCGCUCGGAUGUGAGGGUCUCAGGUCUCAGGCCUCAAGUCUCUUGCCUCUUGUUUCCUAUCUUCAAUGACCUAACUUCUCUCUCGUUCCUCCCCUUUCUCCCCCUCUCCUUUCUCUACUCUCUCCUUGCUCCCACUGUACUUCCUCCUCGCCUCCCCCACCCUCUUUCCCUUUGCAUCUCACUCUUGUUCAUUAUCUCCCCUCUACCUCUUAUACAUCAACUCCUCAAACACUCCAAAAUGACUAAUCUAAAGGGCCAUCGUCUAAGCAAAUGCACAAUGGAAAGCACGGCUCUAUGGCUGGACUGACUGUCCUCACGCAAUAUAUGACACUCACCAGAAUGUACCAGUAGGCAAUAUUCCAGUCAAACUAUUUGAAUCUAAACAUGGUAUGUCUGUAGACAAAUCCCCUAUCAGUGGCUCCCUCCCACCUUCUUUAUAACCACAAGGCCAUUAUUAACGCAUGUUGUACCAGGUACAGUAAACUAAGCACUACUCUGACCUCUCCAUGGCUUCUGACCUGAUCUAUUAACACCCCAGCAUACAGACGCUACUAUACCGUCAAUAGGAGAAUCACACGUUCUCGAGUAAGAACCAUUAAUAAUAACAUUAAUCAACGGUCCCUCUAGCACCUGUACCUCAACUCAAUCUAGCGUCACAGGACCUUACAGGUGAUAUAUGCCAUUCUGAAUAUGCCCCAGCAUGUUGGAUCAGUCUAUUCCAUUCCACUCUAGACCUGCCAUGUCCUAAUCAUUGCUGUAAAACCCGAAGACGCUACGAUGUUCUCUGUAUGUAGACUAUAUACACUUGUUUGAAUAUUAUGUACACUUACAUUAAAUUACUGUACGGUUAUUAUAUUAAGAACUCUGGCAGCAUAAUGCUUGCUCGUAUGUACAACCCACCAUGUAAACGUUUCUGUAUUGAGUGAAAU